rnacentral:tRNA from 1 species
AUUUCUCUAGUAUUAAUAAGUACAAUUGACUUCCAAUCAAUUAGUUCUGGUUGAAUCCAGAGAGAAAUA